rnacentral:tRNA from 1 species
UAGAUUGAAGCCAGUUGAUUAGGGUGUUUAGCUGUUAACGAAAUUUUCAAAUUUUCGUGGGUUUGAAUUCCACCAAUCUAG